GAUGAACGCUGGCGGCAUGCCUAACACAUGCAAGUCGAGCGGAAGGACGAGAAGCUUGCUUCUCUGAUGUUAGCGGCGGGCGGGUGAGUAACACGUGGAUAACCCACCUAUAGGACUGGGGUAACUUCGGGAAACCGGAGAUACUACAGGAGAAUAUUUUGUACGGCAUGGUUCAAAAGUGACAGACGGCCUUGCUGUUGCUUAUAGAUGGAUCCGCGCUGCAUUGGCUAGUUGGUAAGGUAAAGGCCUACCAAGGCGACGAUCCGUAGCCGGUCUGAGAGGAUGAUCAGCCACACUGGAACUGAGACACGGUCCAGACUCCUACGGGAGGCAGCAGUGGGGAAUCUUGGACAAUGGGCGAAAGCCUGACCCAGCAAUGCCGCGUGUGUGAAGAAGGUCUUCGGAUUGUAAAGCACUUUUAUUAGGGAAGAACAUAUGUGUAAUAAUAUGUGCACGUCUUGACGGUACCUAAUGAGUAAGCCACGGCUAACUACGUG
rnacentral:rRNA from 1 species